UAUUUCAAUUCUUAUUAUUAGAAUACAAAAUGUGUCAUGAAACUGAUGUCUGAUGAUGAACUUUGAGAUAACAGAUUUUACUAAUGCCUCCCCGUGGGAAAGUUUUGUCUCCACCAUUGAAGACAUAUUGCAACAGUGGGGCCUCACUGCAUCCACUUAUUCAGCAGAUUCUGGUUAUUGGCCACAGCAUAGGAAGUCAGAGAAGUUCUCUUAUGUUAGACAUAAUUUCAUUGUUAGCCUCCACGUGUCUGGUGAGAAGAAACGACCGAUAUCCAAACAAUGAGAUCAGGAUUGGCCUGAUGCUAUGGUACAUAUGAUGGAUUCAUCAAAUGAUUUCCCUCCAAGAGCUCAUCAUCAUAUCUCUAGAUGGUAUGGUGUUGAUCAGUUUAUAUUGAUAUCUCCUGAUG
rnacentral:lncRNA from 1 species